AACGAACGCUGGCGGCAUGCCUAACACAUGCAAGUCGAACGAAGGCUUCGGCCUUAGUGGCGCACGGGUGCGUAACGCGUGGGAAUCUGCCCUUUGGUUCGGAAUAACAGCUGGAAACGGCUGCUAAUACCGGAUGAUGACGAAAGUCCAAAGAUUUAUCGCCAGAGGAUGAGCCCGCGCUGGAUUAGGUAGUUGGUGGGGUAAAGGCCUACCAAGCCGACGAUCCAUAGCUGGUCUGAGAGGAUGAUCAGCCACACUGGGACUGAGACACGGCCCAGACUCCUACGGGAGGCAGCAGUGGGGAAUAUUGGACAAUGGGCGCAAGCCUGAUCCAGCAAUGCCGCGUGAGUGAUGAAGGCCCUAGGGUUGUAAAGCUCUUUUACCCGGGAAGAUAAUGACUGUACCGGGAGAAUAAGCCCCGGCUAACUCCGU
rnacentral:rRNA from 1 species